UCUUGGAGUCCACUCUUUCUUGAUUUUUUUGGCCUCUUGAGAGUGGCUCUCUCUAUUGCUUGCAGGCCCUUCCCCAGGGAUACCAUGUACAUGUAUAAAGACGAGGACUUGCAACUCGGACCCGAGCAUGUCGGCGGUGAAGUUGGGUGCCCAGCCACGCUCUCCUCUUAAUUGGUGUAUGUGUUUUUUCUUGGAUUCCACUGUGUUGAGAGUUUGGUUUCUUGCAGACUCCGACCAGGAUAGCCAGAUCGCAAAGAGGGCGACAAUCAUACUACUCAUCGUCCUGCAGAAGCCCAUGUCGAGGUUGCAUUUGGACAAGUGAACCCUUCAAUUGCAAGAUCCUUUCUCACCCAUAAAAGCUCUUCAUCAAAUAGUGAAAUUGAAGCUGACAUUUCAAGAAAGGCUCCAUUCAGUUCUAUGAUCCAGGCAUUCCGGUACAUGUCAAUAGAGAAUCUGAAGCUAUAACUCUUAUAAAGGCUCAUGUAUGGUGUGUUGCCUCUUUAUCUUGGAGCUAUUGUGGGAUCUGAUGAAUAUAUGUAAGCUGCUCCUCUGUGAAUGGGAAGUUAGUAAAAUUAUAUUACCCAGUUGUUAAUACAUGCGAUUUUAAAAUUCUUUACAUGAUCGGACGAAAAAUGUUACAUCUCACUGAAAUAUGUCAUGUUGUCAUCACUUCUGACUUGUGUCACUUGAAAUGUUAUAUGUGACUGAAAAAUCAGAGUGCAUACCAUCAGCUUACUUAGUAUUUCUACUUAUUAUUUUCUGACUAAUAUAUUUUGUGUAGGGACAGAGAAGAUGGUUUAAGUUCAUUUCCUCAAUAGUCAUGUUUCGCAUUGAUCUUAUCAGAUCUCUAGCACUUCUCCGUCGUAAAAACUUUGGCUUCCAAUUAAACAGCAACUACAUUACAUGGGCAUGCAAAAAAAAAAAAUUUGGUAAGGCCAGCUUUUCCUCAAAUCCAAACAGACUCAUAGUUUGCAAGUUAUCUAGAAACUCUUUGUGCCUGCUAAAUAUAAAUAUUUAGAGGAUGUGCCUUUUUGUCCGACAGUGUGCAUUGCAUGCUAAACACAUAUCACUCCUCGACCUACUUCUCGCCUGACAGCCUGGAUCAAGCUUGAGAAGAGCAUCAUUGCCAAGUGAAGACGGGAGUGGCUAAAAUAGAGUUUGUGUAUGGAGUUAGAACAUUGUGUAAACGUAUAUUAUCAAAACUAGCAAGUCUACUAUUAUAGUGUGCGUGUUUACCAUAUUUCUCUAUGCCCUCCCACUAUUGGUGUAUACCAUUUACCUAUUUCUCAAGGUUAACUUUUUAUGCA